UGGGGAAUUUUGGACAAUGGGCGAAAGCCUGAUCCAGCAAUGCCGCGUGUGUGAAGAAGGCCUUCGGGUUGUAAAGCACUUUUGUCCGGAAAGAAAUCCUUGGCUCUAAUACAGUCGGGGGAUGACGGUACCGGAAGAAUAAGCACCGGCUAACUACGUGCCAGCAGCCGCGGUAAUACGUAGGGUGCAAGCGUUAAUCGGAAUUACUGGGCGUAAAGCGUGCGCAGGCGGUUUGCUAAGACCGAUGUGAAAUCCCCGGGCUCAACCUGGGAACUGCAUUGGUGACUGGCAGGCUAGAGUAUGGCAGAGGGGGGUAGAAUUCCACGUGUAGCAGUGAAAUGCGUAGAGAUGUGGAGGAAUACCGAUGGCGAAGGCAGCCCCCUGGGCCAAUACUGACGCUCAUGCACGAAAGCGUGGGGAGCAAACAGGAUUAGAUACCCUGGUAGUCCACGCCCUAAACGAUGUCAACUAGUUGUUGGGGAUUCAUUUCUUAGUAACGUAGCUAACGCGUGAAGUUGACCGCCUGGGGAGUACGGUCGCAAGAUUAAAACUCAAAUGAAUUGACGGGGUCAUAGCUGUUUCCU
rnacentral:rRNA from 1 species